CAGCUCUCCAAACUUCCCACUUAACAACUCCCAGGACCCUGCAGCACCCUAAAAUCUAGCCAGCUCCAAGAAUCACUCUCUACUCCAUACCCGGAUGAGCCUUGACUCACACUAAUUCCCUCCCUGAGGCUUAAGUCAGGGGGCAGCUGAUGGUUGUGGUCUGUGCUGCUUCCGCCUGGCCUAUUUUUCAUGCUGCCAUUUUGAAUUAGCAUAGGUUUCCUCCGCAACUGAUGCAUCUUCUAACCAGGCUGGGAACACAACACGCGCACACGCGCACACACACACGCACGCACCCACCCCACCCGGCUGCCGGACGCAAGCGUAAGUCAAGGACUUGCAUGCUAGAAUCAGACAGAAAAUCCAGAAAAGCCACGUUAUUUAACAGAACCCUACAAGGUCAGCUUUGAGUCAAAGCAGGUAACAGUUUCCUUCGAUGUUUUCAUGGACAUUUUUAUUCCCAAAUCCGAGUUCUCGCCAAUUCUCUAAAGUUCAAGCGCCCCUCCUGCUUUGCAGACCACAUUUCUCUCGGCCCUCGCGAGUGAGGUCGCCAAAUACUCGACGCCUCAAGAGCGAGCCGAGGAGGCAGAGGCCGACCAAGCCGGCCUCUCGGCAGCCCCGCCCGGCGCCCCGCGGAGAACGCCCGGGUGCGGCUCGAGGGAAGUUGUGUCAAGUCCCACGCGCGGCCCGCGGAGAACCCAGGGGCGGCCCGCGCGCGUCGGCCUAGCGGGGAGGGCUGCUCCGGGACACGGUGCGGCGGCCGCGGGCGAGUUGGACGCGCUGGCAGAGCCGGGCCGAAGGCGGCGGGCGUCUCCGGGCAGCCAUGUUCGCGGCGCCCGCCCGCGCAGCAGGACGGAGCCCUGACAGCAAUGUUUGCUACGGCCUCCCUCUGCAGUCAGCCUAAAGCAAGGAGCUGGAGGUAGAUGAGGCAAAGGUAAAGGAGACCAAAACAGUAUUUUAAAGAAAAAAUCAUUUAUCUUCAAAUAGGCUCCAAACCUAAGAUGGUGUAUACUGUUAGAGGACAAGAACCUGCUUCUAGCCAUCUUUGCGUCUCCAGGACCUGACUUGUGACCAUUCAAUAAGAGUUUGAUAGAUGGACAGACUAAUGAAUAGAUGAAGAUGAUUAGAAGCCAAAAUUUCUGAAUCUUCCUAGCACCCAGAACAUGGCUUAACAUCAAGGAAAUGCUCACUAAAUACUGUCAUAAUGGAAUGAAUGGAACCGAUGCCUAAUUGAAAAUCAUUAGGCUGUAAACCAUUUCCAUGUUCCAAUUUCUUCGUUUAUAGAACAGAAAUGAUAGUGUAACCACCUGAAAAUCCUUCACCUAGACUUCCAAAACCACACCCACCUCAUCAAUGAAGUCUGACUCUCUAGAAAGAAGCAAAUGACUGAAAUCAUGGUCCUGUGCCUUGACCAAAAUACCAUUCGUCAGAACAAAAGAAGUAGGUCAGUGAAACGGCAUUAGUAUAUCCUUCAACAGGCAAAUAAGUGAUAGUGUAGUUUGCUUUUGAAGUCGCUGUGAAAAGUUUUAGGUGAACAUCACCUACACCACAUUAAAAAUGGAAUCAAGUCAUUUUCUUUAAGAAAUGGAGUUUGAGAUAUGAGAAUUCUUUUGGGCUUUUUCUACUUAUUGGCCAAUUAUACACCCAGAUAUAUUUCUGCAAUAUUUCAAAGAUUCUAGUUCUAAUUUGUAUAAUAAAAAAAAUUAACAGCCUUUUCCAGACCACAUGUUUCCAACAAGACCUUCAAAGGCCUCGCUCGCUAUAUAAAACUGGCUUUAAACAAUUUCCUUUCCCAAAGAAGGAAAUAAGAUAUUUCGGUUUUGUAAAAGAGGCAAAACCAGGUACAGGCCACCUUUCCUGCUGGAGAGCUGGCAUAAGUGAGUGGA
rnacentral:lncRNA from 10 species